GUUUCUGCAACAUUGAAAACAAAUCAAAUUCAUUUUUAGCCAAAAGGCAUAUAUGUAUGUAUACUUAUUAGCUACUAUUAUUCGAGUAUAUCGAGUUGUUAAUAUUGGCAUGUGAAUGCUGCAAUUGAUAUAGAUUAUGAUCAGUGUUUUAAAAAAUAUUUUCAGCAGUUAAAGCAUUUAUGUGCAAACUUAAAAUGGGCUCAACUAUCUUAAGGUUUAUCAUGAUCCCCUUUCUUUUCAUCGCAACGAAAGAUACACUAGCCAAAAAAAUGAUGUUUAGCAAUGGACAUUGCGAUUACAAUCGAGAUGUAUUUUCAAACUUCUCCCUUCGCAUACCAAAUGGAAUAAUUUAUAUAGAUAUAUUGAUUGUCAAACCAUUACAUGUUGGCAUGAGAGGCCAUCUAAGCUUUGAAUUUCGAGCGUCAAAAGCAAAGUCUUUUCAGAGAGUAUUUCAUUUAGAUCUCGACUACUGCAGUAAUCUCAAAGCUUCGAAGAACUCACUCACUAAACGAUGGUAUCUCAGUAUGAUGAAAUUGGGUAAUUAUUCCACAAGUUGUCCUGUAAAACCUGCUUACUAUUAUAUGUAUGGUUGGAAAGUGGAUGGAAAUUUGGUGCCUCCAUUUCUCACAAUGGGUGACUACCGUAUUGCUGGCACCUUUUACUAUGGAAAGUUUCGGGAAAAUGAUGAAAAUCCUUUAUUAAGAUGCACAGUUCAAGCCA